rnacentral:rRNA from 1 species
CGGCGGACGGGUGAGUAACGCGUGGGUAACCUGCCUCAUACAGGGGGAUAACAGUUAGAAAUGACUGCUAAUACCGCAUAAGCGCACGGGACUGCAUGGUCCAGUGUGAAAAACCGAGGUGGUAUGAGAUGGACCCGCGUCUGAUUAGCUGGUUGGCGGGGUAACGGCCCACCAAGGCGACGAUCAGUAGCCGACCUGAGAGGGUGGCCGGCCACAUUGGGGCUGAGACACGGCCCAAACUCCUACGGAAGGCAGCAG